AAACGCUUUGCUUGUGGCAUCAGCACAAUCUCCAUGGCAGAGACAUCUCACUGGGCACCUUCCGUGCAAGUCACCCCUCCCUGCUUCCUUGUCCUUUUGAUAUCACCUGUUGGAAUGUGACUCUUAGAAUCCAUAGGCCAAAAGGCUUGCUGCUCUCUCUUCAAGAUUCAAAACAAAUCUUCAAAACUGUGCCCAGAAAAAACAUUAUAGUAAUAAAAGGAAGAUAACAGAAUGAGAAGGAGGCAGAGAGAGAAGAAAGGGGGAAGAAUAUUAAGGAUGGGGUUUAAGAAGAUUAGGGAAAAUGAUGAUGAUGGUAGUAGAUGGAUGGUUGAGAAAGAUGCAGAAAAGAAAACAAAUCUGAGAUCUUCCUUUGCCAGCUAUGCAUGUGUGGAUUCGGGUCACAAUAGGACACUAAUGAGAAUCCUUAUCCAGAGUUGGUUUCAUGUCAGGUGCUAAGGUAAGGACAUCACAUGCAUCAUCUCUCACCUGGAUCAUGGUAGUCGUUUCUUAAUUGGUUUCCUUGUCUCCACCCUUACCCUCCUUAAGUGUAUUCUCAACCCAGCAGCCAGAGAGAUUCUAUUAAAACACGUGUCAUGCCGUGCCACCCUUGUGCUCAAAACCCUUCAGUCUCCUACUCUCUGACCUCAUUUUCCUCCACUGUGCUCCACCUUCGGUUGACUCCAGCCAUACUCACUGUUCCUCAAACAUUCAGGCUUGCUUCUGCCUCAGGGCCUCUGUGCAGACUGUUCCCCCUGCCUGGAAGGCUGUCCCCCUGGUGCCUACCUGUCACUUUCAUGUCCAUAGAGUCACCUUAUCACUCAGGCUCUUGGUCACUCCAUCUAAAAUGAAAGCUCUCCCCAAUGCUGCCUAGCUCUUUCCUU
rnacentral:lncRNA from 10 species